GCGCAUAGCUUAGUGGUUAGGGCAUUCGACUCGCAAUUGUAAGGUCAUGAGUUCAAUUCUUGGUGACGCA
rnacentral:tRNA from 1 species